CGCGACCCCAGGUCAGGCGGGAUCACCCGCUGA
rnacentral:rRNA from 17 species